GGGUGUAUAGCUCAGUUGGUAGAGCAUCUGACUCUUAAUCAGACGGUCCUGGGUUCGAAUCCCCGUGCACCCACCA
rnacentral:tRNA from 1 species